CCUUCCGCCGUCGACCAGAGCAGCACGCCUCUGCCUCGCCACCGUCGGGUCCCGCUGUCUCCAGCCACCGCCGCUCCACCUCCGCCACCUCAUCACCGGGUCCCGUCGCCAUCUGGUCACUGAUGUGGGUUGUCCUACACCGCCCGGACAUGCCCUUCUCCAUUCUCCCUCCACCUCCGUCUGUUGACUGUCACCUCCAUUCGCCUCAAGGUGCAGCGGCGUGGCGAGGAAGCGCGGGAGGAGUCGGUACGGCGGACGUGGAGGGCGCGGUCGCCUGGUCCGCAACAACCUGCAUCCCGGGAGGCCACGAGAGAAGAUAAGGUGAGGGAGAAGAAGUGAAAUCCGGUCGUCAUGCUGUUAGCCACGCCGUCGCAUAGGGAGUGAUCGAUCGCAGUCGGAGUCGCAAGGAAGGGGAAAGGAGCAGCAGAGAGAAGAUAAACGCGAUACUGAUAGUGUAUUCGGUUAUUCCAUAAGCCUUACUAUUCCUAGGGAUGCCUAUAUCAUUUUCGCGUAAGAUGCUCAACCCAUCAUCUAUUACACAGCCCACUCGGAUCAUCAAGCGGACGAUGACAUGCCUCACUCUGCGUCGUCAGUCUUCGUUCUUCUGAUGGCUCUUGUCGUCGUCCAGCCCUUGCUGACUUUGCUCGAUGCUGCAGUAUCCCCUGGUUUCUCCUGUGUCAUGGAGCUAACACCAUUUUCGUCCCUUAGGUCCUAACAUUCCCACCUUCUUAAGCGUCAGCUUGCCCCC
rnacentral:lncRNA from 1 species